UCAGAACGAACGCUGGCGGCAGGCCUAACACAUGCAAGUCGAGCGGGGACUUCGGUCCUAGCGGCGGACGGGUGAGUAACGCGUGGGAACGUGCCCUUUGCUUCGGAAUAGCCCCUGGAAACGGGGAGUAAUACCGGAUGUGCCCUUUGGGGGAAAGAUUUAUCGGCAAAGGAUCGGCCCGCGUUGGAUUAGGUAGUUGGUGGGGUAAUGGCCUACCAAGCCGACGAUCCAUAGCUGGUUUGAGAGGAUGAUCAGCCACACUGGGACUGAGACACGGCCCAGACUCCUACGGGAGGCAGCAGUGGGGAAUCUUAGACAAUGGGCGCAAGCCUGAUCUAGCCAUGCCGCGUGAGCGAUGAAGGCCUUAGGGUUGUAAAGCUCUUUCGUGGGGGAAGAUAAUGACGGUACCCCAAGAAGAAGCCCCGGCUAACUCCGUG
rnacentral:rRNA from 1 species